GUGUGAAAAAUAGUUAUGGGUAACAAUCAUGCCUUACUAGAUACAAACCCAAAACCAAUCUGGUUUUUUUUUUUUUUUUUCUUUUUUUGUAUAUUUUGAUUUUUAAAGUGAAAGAAGCAAAAUGACAAUACAUUCAUUAUUCAACAAAAUGACAAUACAUUCAUUCAACAAAAUGAUAAUACAUUCAUUAUUCAGGUCAGAUCAUCCUCCUCCAAUUCUUUGGCCUUCAGACUUUCCUUCACUCUCAGCAAAAG
rnacentral:lncRNA from 1 species